AAAAAAAAAAGAAAAGAGAGAGAGAGAGAUGAAUGACCCGCAACCCGAGAUAAACAGAACCCAAAUGAUCUGAACCAGCCUGACCCCACCUGUUUGCCACCUCUACUCAAGCUCCAUGUUUAAGCAACUACUAUGAGGAAAGAAUCGAAAGGAUCUCAAAAUUAGGUCCAUGCUUUAAUUGUUGCCUUUCAAGGUAGUAACAUGAGAGAGAAGGAGAGAGAGGGAAAGCUCAGAGAUCCUUUUAGUUGGUGCUUUGCAAGCUAGUAACAUGCCACCUAUGCAUAGUUAUUAAAAGGCGUGCCUGAGGCUCAAGGCUCACCAGGCUUGAACCUUGGCGCUUAGGUGUGUGCCUUUGUUCCAGGC
rnacentral:misc_RNA from 1 species